AGGAAUAGUGAACUUAUCUGUUAUUUGGCAAGAAUGGCCCUUGGAUAUGUUAUUUCUGUUUUUUUUUUAUCUGGGUGUUUUAUGGAAGUAUUUACUUUCUUGUGUACACGUGUUGAUCAUCGUUUGGUUUAUCCGCUUCCGGAUCUUCCCACCGCCACAAAAUAUCUUUGGUCAACGUUAUCUCUCUUUUCUUCCACAAACCUCCCAUCGCUUUUUCGCCCCUGCUGUUUUUUGCAUAGACCGAUUAUUAGUGGCUAGCAACUCGACAUCGAGGGGAUCGCGGUGCCUAAAGAAGUUGUCGUGUUCGCCGCCAGUGCAGUCGUCGGUGCCACCACGAAGCGCUUCAGAGAGCUGCGUUCACCUACCAGAAAAACGCUUCAGAGAGUUGUGUUUUACUUCAAAGAAUCGAUUCGGUGUCUGCUCAUCGGAUCUACUCGGAGCUUUCACACAUGUAACUCGUAUGAAAUUAUACAAGUGAUUAUAGCGUACAAGACGUCCUCCAUCGUCUCACCGAUUCCGGUGUUCUCCAGCUUCACCGCCAAUCAGGCGAUCCUUGAUGCCUUCAUAAUCAAGGGGGCUAAGCGAGACUUUAGCACCACGAUUCUUGAGCGAAAGAAGGCGGCGAAUAGACUGACUGACUGGUCGUUGAUGAAGGCAUCAACAAUGAUAACUCCUUUGUUUCUCUUCAUCCCGAGACCAUGGAAAAGCUUCAACUCUUCAGAGGCGAUACCAUCCUGAUCAAGGUUCCUUUCUCACCAUCAAUAAAUUUCUGGUGGCACGCCAAGUGUUUGACAUUUUGCUUCAGUGAAGUUCAUCAUAUAUUUUUAUAUGGACCCUUGACCGGAUGACUAGCCUGUUCAGAUACUGGUACUGGAAGGAUUUGAAUGGUGAAGCAAUCCGAGCUUUAAGAGCUACAAAGGUUUUAGCGGUUCCAAAUGAUGCACUCUAUGGUUUUGCUUCUGAUUUGUGAUUCGAGCCAAAAUUGAUCGGCACCACCUGGGGUCGUAGGCUUUCUUUUCUUCCCUCCACUUACCCGAUUUGUAUCCAUUUUUCCUGUCGGAGCCGUCAUCUUGGGAUACUUCAUGUACUAAAAAGAUCUCAUAAAGCUCCUGUCAGCAGUCAAUGCAUUAAAUGCUUACAAUUAGGUCCGGGAGAGAUUUCCUUCACAACUAUAAAGGCCAGAUUCCCAUUUAUAAAAUAUUUAUUAUGAAAAAAGUUAGAUUUUCAUGAAAUUCAUAACAUUUAUUGUAAUUGUAGGUAUCUGGGUAGUGUGACAAUCUUUCAGGAAGCGUUGUGAUUGUCUAUGAAAUCAUAGCAUUUGCUCUGCUGGGGUUAACAAAAUCAAAAAGAAAAUUGCUAGGUCCUAUUGUUCUUGGAUCCUGGAUUCUAUUCUUAUUAUGGAAUCACAUUUUCCUAUUGUGUUCUCACUCAAGCUAUUUAAAAUUUUUUUGUUGCUUACGCAGAAGGGGUCGUGGAAUCACUAUGGUCGAUUGAUCAAUAUUUUGAGUUUGUUCUUAUGCUUACGUUCAAUACCCGAUUGUGUUUUCGGGUACUUAUUUGAAUUGGAAUCAGAAUCUACUGAAUGGUUUGAUUGCUUUGAUUGAUCUUGCUGCUCAUGCUACUGAUCACACACAAUCCGAAUGACUCAAAUUUCUUGAUCUAAGAACAUAUAACAAACUAGAAUUACUAAACUUCCCUUAUUUACUGCCAUACAAAUUUUCUUGGAGUUACAUGGGGUAGGUUGGGGGUAGAGAAUGACAAACAAAGCAUAUAGAAAUACCAAAAUUAUAAUUAAAUCUCUGUUACAUGUGAUAAUUUAUUUAUUAUUAUAUUUGAUUUCAAAGCUGUAAAUUUUUAAAGUACAAAACAAAAAAAAAUUAUCUUUUUAUUCGUUUUCAUAGAAUCAUACCUCUUUGUGUUGUAGUUGUUUCCCUGAUUGUAUAUAACUUUCCCUAAUUUUUUUUUUUGACGAAUGUUUUUUUAAUAAACGAUAUUUCAGCAACAACAUUGGACUUCUCCUGCAAUGGAAUCAACAUUACAUGCAACAAAUAAAACAAGCAUUAAAAAUGGCACCUCAGGUUGCUGAUGUGUAUUUUUCAAAAGCAUUGCAUGAUGUCGAUAUACAUGUGAAAACUUUCUUUUUAAUUUUACAUUUUGUUUCUAUUAAGGUUUUGACUUAUUUUUUUCCGCUCAAAUUGUGGUUUGCUUUCAUUCUUUUGUACCCUCAUGUUAAUACCGAUGGCCAUAUUGUUUAAAUGAGUGUCCAUAAUACAUUUUCUCUUCAAUUCUUAAACUACCCAUUGAAAUUUGGAGACCUUAUAAUGGUGUUAUUGAAACAUAUAACAUUUUACUUUAAUUCUAAUGUUAGGUGCAUGAUUUGAUCAUUCAAGGAAAUGAAAUCGAAGAAGACGAUGGAUGGAUGGGGUAAGUAUGAAGAUGCUAUUUCUGUAUUUAUUGUAGAUUGCAUUGUACUUUCAUUUAAAACCACCUGGAUAUAAGAUUGUAUGUUCAUUGUUUUCGAAAACCUAU